UACAUGCAAGUCGAACGAACUUCCGUUAAUUGAUUAUGACGUGCUUGCACUGAAUGAGAUUUUAACACGAAGUGAGUGGCGGACGGGUGAGUAACACGUGGGUAACCUGCCCAGAAGCAGGGGAUAACACCUGGAAACAGAUGCUAAUACCGUAUAACAGAGAAAACCGCCUGGUUUUCUUUUAAAAGAUGGCUCUGCUAUCACUUCUGGAUGGACCCGCGGCGCAUUAGCUAGUUGGUGAGGUAACGGCUCACCAAGGCGAUGAUGCGUAGCCGACCUGAGAGGGUAAUCGGCCACAUUGGGACUGAGACACGGCCCAGACUCCUACGGGAGGCAGCAGUAGGGAAUCUUCCACAAUGGACGCAAGUCUGAUGGAGCAACGCCGCGUGAGUGAAGAAGGGUUUCGGCUCGUAAAGCUCUGUUGUUAAAGAAGAACGUGGGUGAGAGUAACUGUUCACCCAGUGACGGUAUUUAACCAGAAAGCCACGGCUAACUACGUGCCAGCAGCCGCGGUAAUACGUAGGUGGCAAGCGUUAUCCGGAUUUAUUGGGCGUAAAGCGAGCGCAGGCGGUCUUUUAAGUCUAAUGUGAAAGCCUUCGGCUCAACCGAAGAAGUGCAUUGGAAACUGGGAGACUUGAGUGCAGAAGAGGACAGUGGAACUCCAUGUGUAGCGGUGAAAUGCGUAGAUAUAUGGAAGAACACCAGUGGCGAAGGCGGCUGUCUGGUCUGUAACUGACGCUGAGGCUCGAAAGCAUGGGUAGCGAACAGGAUUAGAUACCCUGGUAGUCCAUGCCGUAAACGAUGAUUACUAAGUGUUGGAGGGUUUCCGCCCUUCAGUGCUGCAGCUAACGCAUUAAGUAAUCCGCCUGGGGAGUACGACCGCAAGGUUGAAACUCAAAAGAAUUGACGGGGGCCCGCACAAGCGGUGGAGCAUGUGGUUUAAUUCGAAGCUACGCGAAGAACCUUACCAGGUCUUGACAUCUUCUGCCAACCUAAGAGAUUAGGCGUUCCCUUCGGGGACAGAAUGACAGGUGGUGCAUGGUUGUCGUCAGCUCGUGUCGUGAGAUGUUGGGUUAAGUCCCGCAACGAGCGCAACCCUUAUUACUAGUUGCCAGCAUUCAGUUGGGCACUCUAGUGAGACUGCCGGUGACAAACCGGAGGAAGGUGGGGACGACGUCAAAUCAUCAUGCCCCUUAUGACCUGGGCUACACACGUGCCUACAAUGGAUGGUACAACGAGUCGCGAAACCGCGAGGUUUAGCUAAUCUCUUAAAACCAUUC
rnacentral:rRNA from 1 species